rnacentral:rRNA from 1 species
ACCUACGGGGGGCAGCAGUAGGGAAUAUUGCACAAUGGGGGAAACCCUGAUGCAGCGACGCCGCGUGUGGGAAGACGGUCCUCUGGAUUGUAAACCACUGUCCCCAAGGACGAAAAUGACGGUACCUGGGGAGGAAGCUCCGGCUAACUACGUGCCAGCAGCCGCGGUAAUACGUAGGGAGCGAGCGUUGUCCGGAAUUACUGGGUGUAAAGGGAGCGUAGGCGGGGAUGCAAGUUGGGUGUCAAAACUACCGGCUCAACUGGUAGUCGCACUCAAAACUGCAGCUCUUGCGUGAAGUAGAGGCA